rnacentral:rRNA from 1 species
CCUACGGGAGGCAGCAGUGAGGAAUAUUGGUCAAUGGGCGCGAGCCUGAACCAGCCAAGUCGCGUGAGGGAAGACGGUCCUAUGGAUUGUAAACCUCUUUUGUCGGGGAGCAAAAGACGCCACGCGUGGCGUUCCGAGAGUACCCGAAGAAAAAGCAUCGGCUAACUCCGUGCCAGCAGCCGCGGUAAUACGGAGGAUGCGAGCGUUAUGCGGAUUUAUUGGGUUUAAAGGGUGCGCAGGCGGAAGAUCAAGGCAGCGGUAAAAUUGAGAGGCUCAACCUCUUCGAGCCGUUGAAACUGGUUGUCUUGAGUGAGUGAGAAGUAUGCGGAAUGCGUGGUGUAGCGGUGAAAUGCAUAGAUAUCACGCAGAACUCCGAUUGCGAAGGCAGCAUACCGGCGCUCAACUGACGCUCAUGCACGAAAGUGUGGGUAUCGAACAGGAUUAGAUACCCGGGUAGUC